UUGAAAGGGAAACGAUUGAAGUCAGUCGUACCGACGAGAAAUCAACUUAUCGUGUGCGAACUUGUGGGCGUGCGUGAGUUUCGGCCUCGCUGUUUGCAUGUUUGUGCGCUUUGGGUGUACUUUUUCGUAUGGUAGGCCAACGUCAGUUUCGAUUAUCAUAAAAUGACCGGCGGAAUGUAGCUUCGAUUUCGGUUGAAGUGUUAUAGCCUCUGGUAGAUGUGGUGAUUGAGACUGAGGAUUGCAACGAAUACCCUUUGGGCUAUCCGUCUGGCCUCUGAAAGUUGCUCAGGUGCCGGAAGCGUGCUUACGGUCAUCUAAGUUAACGUUCAACAGGUUAGAACGUGAUUACAUUCGUUAAGGAUGUUGACGUA
rnacentral:rRNA from 1 species